GACAACUUUCUGUGUCUGCUGUGCCGUAGCGCAGUGCAGUCGACUGACAAUUAACCCGUCUUUCACUUGUACCCUCCGCUCACCCACGGCUUACGACACAUUUGCUUUCUCCCAGGAAAGAAAUCCUAAAUCCCAGCGAGGAAUAGUAGCUGUCCGCUUCAAGGGUUUACCUCCAACUUGGUUUUUUUUGUGUUGGUUUUUAUAUCCAAGCACUCCAUCCGUGCGUUGGGUGUUUUCUUUUUAAAUCCCAUCUACUUGUGCAGAGACACUGAUGUGGGCAAACUAGUGGGAAAGCAUCUAGUGAAUUCAUCGACAUCAAUUGCAGAGAGAGAGAGAGAGAGAGAGAGAGAGAGAGAGAGAGAGAGAGAGAGAGAGAGAGAGAGAGAGAGAGAGAGAGAGAGAGAGAGAGAGAGGGGAUAGAAGGACAGAAGGAGACGCUCAGAGACAAACGGAACGCAACCCGCCUCGCCAUGAACAACAACAAACCCGAGAAGGAGACGGAGCCCAGUGAGUUCGCAAACCACGAGGAGGAGGUCCGGACGCUCUUCGUCAGCGGGCUCCCGUUGGACAUCAAGCCGCGAGAGCUGUAUCUCCUGUUCCGACCAUUUAAGGGGUACGAAGGCUCCUUGAUAAAGCUCACAUCCAAGCAGAGCUCCAGGCGUCCGUCCGUGACGUUCGGUUCUCACAGGACAGAGCUCGACUGGGCGGCGGCCGUCUCUAGGGCUUGUUUGGUUUUCGGUGACUCUCCCAUGCACCCUGCUCAUCCGGUGGGCUUCGUCAGCUUCGACAGCCGGUCAGAGGCGGAGGCCGCGAAGAACGCCCUGAACGGGGUCCGCUUCGACCCGGAGAUCCCCCAGACUCUGCGCCUGGAGUUCGCCAAGGCCAACACCAAGAUGGCCAAGAACAAGCUGGUGGGCACCCCCAACCCCCCUCCGUCCCAGCAGAGCCCCGGGCCCCAGUUCAUCAGCAGAGACCCAUAUGAGCUCACCGUGCCGGGUCUGUACCCCAGCAGUCAGGACAUGUGGGCCUCGUACCCGCUCUACCCGGCGGAGCUGUCGCCGGCCCUCCAACCCGCUUUCACCUACCCCUCCUCGCUCCACGCUCAGAUCCGCUGGCUCCCACCUGCAGAUGGAACUCCACAAGGAUGGAAGUCCAGGCAGUUCUGCUGAAGUUCCUGUUGUGUGAUGGAGGUCGCGGCCGCCCGUGACGGAGGUUGCUGCCCGUGUCUGGUGUCCUGCUGGUUAAAAAAGAUAAAAACAACUCUAAACCCCGCCAGGAGGACUCAGCCCCCCGGCGCCCCGCCAACACUAGCCGGGACCACCGGCAGCAGCAGAGCCUCUUCGGGCCUCAGGACAUUGUAGACCCUGCCUCCAUCACACAUCGACCCCCCCCCCCCCCCCCCCCUCCCCCUCCCCCUCUUUUUUUUGUACUGUUACAUACUCCAGAGUCGCUGGUGGCACCCUGGCUACACCAACCAUAAUGCCUUCUUUUAGGUACCUGCACACUGGUACUAGUCUACUACACCCACCUGCUAGUUAGCUUACCAUCCCAAACAGAGUUGGACUUAGUGCCCGGUUUACCUCGUGCUAACGCUUUUGAUCCCCCAAACAAAUUUUCCACCUUUUAUGCAGUCUUUUCUUUUUGUUUUUUGUUUUUAUGUUGAAGGCCUUUAUGUGUGUCCGUGUGACCAAAGUGCUUCCAGGUGUUGUACUAUAAUAAUGAUAUUGAUCAAUACUAUUCUGUAUAUCAUUCAUAUUAAUGUUAUUAUGAUUAUUACGAAACACAUGUUGAAGCAUGACUUUGCAAAAGAAGAAAAAAAUACAAAAAACAACAAUGCUGUACAUUUUUAGAUAUUUUAAAGGAAUACGAAAAAAAGGUAUUUUUGUAAUCAAGCCAAUGUUUGAAAUUGUCGAUUGAUUCAUGUCGUGCUGUGUCUGAGCAACCUGUUUGUAAUCCUCAAACUUUCCUACUUCUAUUGUUUGGUUUGGGUUGUUUUUUCUCGCGUGUUGGUGCCAUUUUAGAAGAAAAUGGACAGUUGCAAUACCAAAGCAGUUUUGUCUCUUUCUUUUUUCCGCGUUUUAAUCAGAACGUACAUUUAGCCCGUCCCUACCCCCUACCCCCAUCUUCCCUCUUACACCGCAAGCUGUCUUUUCAACCGACGAAGCCAAACCAACCGAAACGUCUUCUUCCACACGAUGAACUUAUCCAUCAGUGAUUUUCUGCUUCAGUUUUAACUAUUAAAGCCGCCCCCCCCCUCAAAUCGAAAAAAACAGACAAACGCCCCAAAACAAAACACACCACUCUGUCUUCAAACAGACGUUCAACAUCCAUCUUCGACUAUAAAAACCAACGCUCCUAACAAAGGUAUAGGCGCUCACAUCAAGGCCCCCAUAAAGCAGGAAGUAAGCGGUAGGUAAGAUUACCCCAGAGAGCACAUUAUGGAAGGAAAGCGCAGACCUGCUAUAAUUAGGAAGGGCUCCUUGGCUGUGCAGUGGAGAGGACAGCGGGCACCAAGAAACAAAAGACCAAAGGCAAUCUCUUCUUGUUCCUUCUCUCACACUGGAGAGCUCUGUAGGCUGUUGGAAUUAUUCCAAUUCUCGACUGCUUUCGUCCUGCUCCCUUUGAAUCCUUAUGAAGUGUGGCAUCAUGUAUACUUUUGUUCUUUUUUCGGAGUCUUUUCGGGUGUCACACCAAAAGAGAGGCGUCUCGAAAAACAUAUUUUCUAUCCGAUUUUGUUUUGUCUUUAGUCUUUUAUCUAUUUUUAGGGACCCAAUGUGAUUCAACCUGUUCUUGUAAAAUAUGAACUAAGGUACUGUAGUAAGGAUCGAAGUGUGGAAAUCUAUAUUAUUUUUAAUCUUUUGUUUGUUUGGCCUGCAAUAAGAUUCAUAUUUGCAUAUUUAUUUAACAUUUUUAGGUUGAAAUCUGCAUUUGUUAAUAUGAAUAUGGACUCCUGUGAUUUUACUAUCUGAUGGAAAGUAUCUGUCAUUUUCUACAGUGAUGUUCCACUACUCAGUAAAUACUGUACAAUCCAUAAUCCAACUUCCAUUGUGUAAAAUAACUGAAGUUCUCAGUGUUUGUGGUUAUAUAUGAUGAUAUAUAAGUGUGAACAUCAUACAUACCUAUAGUGGGUUUUUGAAAUUUGUGCUUUCUGAUCCCAAUGCAAAUUUGCUUUAAAUUACAAAUUCAAGACUAUUUGAAAAGUGUGUGUGUGUGUGAGUGACUGUGUGUGAGACUGGAUAUCACAUUUAAAAAAUAUGAAAAUGUCCAAGAUAUAAUUCAAUUAAGUAUUAAUGUAAGUUUGAUUGUAUAUUCAUCUGUUUUGACAACUCCUUUCUUUUUUGUGUGUGUGCGUUUUUAUCCGAAGAAUUGAAAUAUAUUUGAUAUAUACACAAAACACUGUUUUUCCUAGAUAAAUUCACUGUGAAAUCCAGAGGGAAAAAAACCAACAUGCCCUUUUAGACGUCAAGGAUGUCUUCGUCUUCGCCAAAAGACAAGAAACGACGAAGAGCUCAGAGCGCAAGACGGCGCGUUAUCCUCCAACACACGGACACGUGAUACUCCUGGUUCUCCAGUUUUUAGUUUCUCUUUUGCUGUCAGUGUGUCCUGUGCAUGUUCACCGCAUGUGUGUGCGUGUGCGUGUGUGUGUGCGUGUGCUGUUUUUUCUUUUCCCGGAUGCAUACAGUACUGUUGAUAUUUAUAUAUUGUAGCCGCUGUAUGAAGCUCGUAUUUCAGAGGGUUGUUUUGUUUUUAAAACCAAAAAAAAUGGAUCAAAAUGAGGUUUUUAUGAAAAUAGAUUAAAAAAAAUAGGAAAAUUGAUACAUUUCAGGUUUUUAGCCAUUAAAGAUUGACGUCAA